UACGAAGGGGGCUAGCGUUGCUCGGAAUCACUGGGCGUAAAGCGCACGUAGGCGGAUUGUUAAGUCAGGGGUGAAAUCCUGGAGCUCAACUCCAGAACUGCCCUUGAUACUGGCGGUCUCGAGUCCGGGAGAGGUGAGUGGAACUGCGAGUGUAGAGGUGAAAUUCGUAGAUAUUCGCAAGAACACCAGUGGCGAAGGCGGCUCACUGGCCCGAUACUGACGCUGAGGCACGAAAGCGUGGGGAGCAAACAGGG
rnacentral:rRNA from 1 species